GACGAACGCUGGCGGCGUGCUUAACACAUGCAAGUGGAGCGACGAACCAGGCUUCGGCCUGGGGCAGAGCCGCGAACGGGUGAGUAUCACGUGGGUAACGUGCCCCGAUGACCGGGACAACCCGGGGAAACCCGGCCUAAUACCGGAUCGUCUGUCCCCGCAUCAGCGGGGAUUGGAAAGGAAGCUUCGGCCUCCGCAUCGGGGUCGGCCCGCGGCCCAUUAGCUGGUUGGUGAGGUAACGGCUCACCAAGGCCGCGAUGGGUAGCUGGUCUGAGAGGACGAUCAGCCACACUGGGACUGAGACACGGCCCAGACUCCUACGGGAGGCAGCAGUGGGGAAUCUUGCGCAAUGCGCGAAAGCGUGACGCAGCAACGCCGCGUGGGGGAAGAAGGCCUUCGGGUUGUAAACCCCUUUCAGGAGGGACGAAGGUUGGGCGGUGAAUAGCCGACCUGACUGACGGUACCUCCAGAAGAAGCCCCGGCUAACUACGUGCCAGCCGCCGCGGUAACAC
rnacentral:rRNA from 1 species